rnacentral:rRNA from 1 species
UAUAUAACGGCCGCGGUAUUUUGACCGUGCAAAGGUAGCAUAAUAAUUUGCCUUUUAAUAGGAGGCUGGUAUGAAUGGAUAUAUGAAAUUAUAACUGUCUCUUAAUUAUAAUUAAAAAUUAUCAUUUAGGUGAAGAGACCUAAAUAUUAAUAAAAGACAAAAAGACCCUAUUGAUCUUUAUCUUUAUGAGAAUUUGUAGAUUAAUUUACUUUAUUACUUAAUAAAGAUUUAAUUGGGGCGAUUAAGAAAUAUAAAAAUCUUUCUAUAUAUUUUCGAAUAACAAUUCUAUUUAAUGAUCUAUAUUAUAAUAGAUGGAAAUAGUUACCAUAGGGAUAACAGGCUAAUUUUUUUGGAGAGUUCAUAUUGAUAAAAAAGUUUGGCACCUCGAUGUUGGCUUAGAAUAUCCUAUAGGUGUAGCAGUCUAUAAGGGUUGGUUUGUUCAACCAUUAAAAUUCUA